rnacentral:rRNA from 1 species
AAGAACCCCGGGAGGGGAGUGAAAUAGAACCUGAAACCGCAUACAUACAAACAGUAGGAGCCCCUGCAGUGGGGUGACUGCGUACCUUUUGCAUAAUGGGUCAGCGACUUACGUUUUGUGGCGAGCUUAACCGAGUAGGGGAGGCGUAGCGAAAGCGAGUUCGAAUAGAGCGAAGAGUCUCAAGGCGUAGACCCGAAACCAGAUGAGCUAUCCAUGGCCAGGUUGAAGGUGUGGUAACACACACUGGAGGACCGAACCGACUAGUGUUGCAAAAUUAGCGGAUGAGCUGUGGAUAGGGGUGAAAGGCUUAACAAAUCUGGAGAUAGCUGGUUCUCCCCGAAAACUAUUGAGGUAGUGCCUCGUGUAUUGCUCCAGGGGGUAGAGCACUGUUAUGGCUAGGGGGACAUGGCGUCUUACCAAACCAUGGCAAACUCCGAAUACUUGGAAGUAAGAGCACGGGAGACAGAGCACCGGGUGCUAACGUCCGGACUCAAGAGGGAAACAACCCAGACCGCCGUUUAAGGUCCCAAAUAUUGACUAAGUGGAAAACGAAGUGUGAAGGCUAAGACAGUCAGGAAGUUGGCUUAGAAGCAGCCAUCCUUCAAAGAAAGCGUAAUAGCUCACUGAUCGAGUCCUCAUGCGCGGAAGAUGUAACGGGGCUAAGUCAAUAACCGAAAGCGCGGAUUUGCAUGAAAAUGCAAGUGGUAGGGGAGCGUUCUGUAAGCCUGCGAAGGUGGUUCGAGAGGACUGCUGGAGGUAUCAGAAGUGCGAAUGCUGACAUGAGUAACGUUAAAGCGGGUGAAAAGCCCGCUCGCCGUAAGCCCAAGGUUUCCUGCUCUACGUUCAUCGGAGCAGGGUGAGUCGGCCCCUAAGGCCAGGCUGAGAAGCGUAGUCGAUGGGAAGCAGAUUAAUAUUUCUGCACCAUGUGCAAGUGCGAUGGGGGGACGGAGUGCGAAAGAUCAUCCGGGUGUUGGAUGUCCCGGUUUGUGAGUGUAGAAGGCCGACAGGCAAAUCCGUCGGCGGAUCUUCGAGACAAAGCAUCGAGGUUCUACGGAACCGAAGUGAUCGGAAGUGCUUCCAGGAAAAGCCUCUAAGCUUCAGCUUGCAUAUGACCGUACCGUAAACCGACACUGGUGGGCGAGUUGAAUAUACUCAGGCGCUUGAGAGAACUCGGGAGAAGGAACUCGGCAAAUUGACACCGUAACUUCGGGAUAAGGUGUGCCUUUGUAGCGUGAAGAGAGAAACACUCGGAGCGUGAAGAGGCCUCAGAGAAUCGGUGGCUGCAACUGUUUAUUAAAAACACAGCACUCUGCAAAGACGAAAGUCGACGUAUAGGGUGUGAUGCCUGCCCGGUGCUGGAAGAUUAAGUGAUGGGGUGAGAGCUCCUGAUCGAAGUCCCAGUAAACGGCGGCCGUAACUAUAACGGUCCUAAGGUAGCGAAAUUCCUUGUCGGGUAAGUUCCGACCUGCACGAAUGGCAUAAUGAUGGCCACACUGUCUCCUCCCGAGACUCAGUGAAGUUGAAAUGUUUGUGAUGAUGCAAUCUCCCCGCGGCUAGACGGAAAGACCCCAUGAACCUUUACUGUAGCUUUGCAUUGGACUUUGAACCGAUUUGUGUAGGAUAGGCGGGAGGCAGAGAAAGCGCAACGCCAGUUGUGCCGGAGCCGACGUUGAAAUACCGCCCUGAUUUGUUUGAGGUUCUAACCGCGACCCGUAAGCCGGGUCCGGGACCGUGCAUGGCAGGCAGUUUGACUGGGGCGGUCUCCUCCUAAAGGGUAACGGAGGAGUACAAAGGUACGCUAGGUACGGUCGGAAAUCGUGCUGAUAGUGCAAAGGCAAAAGCGUGCUUGACUGCGAGACCGACAAGUCGAGCAGAUGCGAAAGCAGGUCUUAGUGAUCCGGUGGCUCUGUAUGGAAGGGCCAUCGCUCAACGGAUAAAAGGUACUCUGG